UACGAAGGGUGCAAGCGUUACUCGGAAUUACUGGGCGUAAAGCGUGCGUAGGCGGUUCGUUAAGUCUGUCGUGAAAGCCCUGGGCUCAACCUGGGAAUUGCGAUGGAUACUGGCGAGCUAGAGUACGGUAGAGGAUGGUGGAAUUCCCGGUGUAGCGGUGAAAUGCGUAGAGAUCGGGAGGAACACCCGUGGCGAAGGCGGCCAUCUAGACAAGUACUGACGCUGAGGCACGAAAGCGUGGGGAGCAAACAGG
rnacentral:rRNA from 1 species